rnacentral:rRNA from 1 species
CGAGUUUGAUCAUGGCUCAGAUUGAACGCUGGCGGCAUGCCUUACACAUGCAAGUCGAACGGCAGCGGACCUUCGGGUGCCGGCGAGUGGCGAACGGGUGAGUAAUAUAUCGGAACGUACCUUUCAGUGGGGGAUAACGUAGCGAAAGUUACGCUAAUACCGCAUAUUCUGUGAGCAGGAAAGCAGGGGAUCGCAAGACCUUGCGCUGAUUGAGCGGCCGAUAUCAGAUUAGCUAGUUGGUGAGGUAAAGGCUCACCAAGGCGACGAUCUGUAGCGGGUCUGAGAGGAUGAUCCGCCACACUGGAACUGAGACACGGUCCGGACUCCUACGGGAGGCAGCAGUGGGGAAUUUUGGACAAUGGGGGCAACCCUGAUCCAGCCAUUCCGCGUGAGUGAAGAAGGCCUUCGGGUUGUAAAGCUCUUUCGGCAGGAACGAAACGGUGAGGGCUAAUACCCUUUACUAAUAACGGUACCUGAAGAAGAAGCACCGGCUAACUACGUG